rnacentral:rRNA from 1 species
AUAAUGGAUAGCAAUAUCUAUGGUGGCGACCGGCGCACGGGUGCGUAACGCGUAUGCAACCUACCUUUAACAGGGGGAUAACACUGAGAAAUUGGUACUAAUACCCCAUAAUAUCAUAGAAGGCAUCUUUUAUGGUUGAAAAUUCCGAUGGUUAGAGAUGGGCAUGCGUUGUAUUAGCUAGUUGGUGGGGUAACGGCUCACCAAGGCGACGAUCAGUAGCCGGCCUGAGAGGGUGAACGGCCACAUUGGGACUGAGACACGGCCCAGACUCC